UACGGGGGGGGUAAGCGUUGUUCGGAAUUACUGGGCGUAAAGGGCUCGUAGGCGGCCAACUAAGUCAGACGUGAAAUCCCUCAGCUUAACUGGGGAACUGCGUCUGAUACUGGAUGGCUUGGAUUCGGGAGAGGAAUGCGGAAUUCCAGGUGUAGCGGUGAAAUGCGCAGAUAUCAGGAGGAACACCGGUGGCGAAGGCGGGUCUCUGGGCCGAUACUGACGCUGAGGAGCGAAAGCGUGGGGAGCGAACAGG
rnacentral:rRNA from 1 species